UCCCCAGUGCCCGCUACCCAGGGACACACAUGCUCACCCAGCAGAGUUUGCACAGCUGCUUUCGGAGCGAAUGAGGGGCCCUGGUGCAAGGCCAAUGGAAACUGGGAUGCAGCCUUUAGGAGCGAUGAGGACUUGCUGUCAGACAAGAAAAUCGCCGACUAUGUAAUGCCUGGGACUAUCACAGCAAGACCCCUGGGGCUUGGGGAAAGCCAACACCACAAACGCCUUUGUGCCCCAGCUUGUUGUACUGGGAAAGAGCCUUGAAAGUCCAUGUUUCUGAAACCAAACCUUUAUACAUGUGGAUAUCAUCCAAGCGUUGCUCUGGAUCUUACACUGGAAGGUGAACUGAGAGCAAGUUUUGGCUCAGGGUUACUACUGCUGUUUAACUCCAGAUGUCCUAGAAGUCAGGGCUGGACAUUACACUUCAGAGGAAGAGGGUUCACCUACUCGUGUUGCUCCAGUGAGCAGAGAUGUUUCUGCAGCAGAACGACUGUCCAGUGGGCACUCAAGUGCUAAACGGGAGCAGACAUCACCCUUCGGAAAUGCCUUGCCUGGAUCCUUGCCUGCCCUUCCCAGCGGGAAGCUGCCUGAAGGCUGGACCACCAGCCAGCAGGACCGGGAAAGGUGCACACAGGAAGAUGCUCUCUGUCCAUAUUUAGUUUUAUAGGACCUACAAAACACAGUGCUACACAGGCUGUACUUCAGCUGCAUCCCCAUCGGUUUGGCAUUUACCUCCAUAGACACAGUAUUCUUGCAGCACACACAAAAAAAUGCCUUUCUUGAUGCAACUGUUUAUUCCCUGAAGGCACCAUAUGGGACAGAAACCUCAGAGAAAGGGAAACAAACUGUACUUUUCCAUGCGACUCCAAUUAUUAAUAUUCCAGUAUUGGCCGAGCACUUGUAGAGCUGUAAUGAGAACAUCCUCUUAUGCGCCAUUUCCAGAAUUUAUGCACAACAAGCAAUACAUAAAUAUCAAUUAAUGAAGCAACUACAGAAAAAUUAAUUAAAACAUGAGAGGAUAGAAGCCUCUAUUCAGCCCCCUAAAAAGGAAAGACAUGUUCACAAACCCCUCCCUCCUGCUCAGAAGAAAGCUCUCAGUUCCAGAGGAAGGAAACCAUUAAUUUUUUUUAAUUGCACAAUACUUUUAAAUUAAUUUCCAUAAGCACCACAAACAGCAAAUGGGGGAGGGAAAAUCAAAGAUUUCACAAUUAAAUUAGUACUUGGGAGCUGUCUCUUGCUUGUUGGUUACGAUCCAAACUCCCUAUAUCCCGUAACUUGACUGUGGUGACAGACGUGCAGACAGCAAGCGGCAGCCUGGCUGUAGUCCUCCAUGAAGUCCAUGAUGUCAUGGCUUUACUAAUGGCACCUAAACCUAUAAAUCCACAGCUAUAACCACUAACACUUUAAUUAGCCUAAAUUAAAAUUAAACACUGUAAAAGAAGACAACUGAAGGUGAAAUCCAGACAUGGAGAGGUUGCAUUUUUUUUCUGCCCGGUGUUUCAGCCACAAUCUGGACAGGGUUUGCCAGCAGAAGGUGGCAAGCGGAGUUGGCCCCGUCUCCAGCGCAGCCACAGGAGCCUCUCCAUCGACCGUCCCGAGACAGAGCUCAUCCUGCUGGAAGGAAACGAUGAACAAAGCAGGGAAAUGGGCAAGGAGCAGCUCAUGGGCUGGUCAGGCGGAGAGCCAUGGACCAUGCUUGGCAGCCAGCAUGGGCAGGCUGGAAAACCUCCUGCAACCUGCUCUCCCUCCCCCCACCCCCCCCGAGAUGACAUCUGCAACUCUAUUUUCCUUUUUUCUGUGUGUCACGGUGAUCAUCCCUUUGGGUUCCCGAAGAGGCACGAGCUGUCCUGGUGCCAAGGAGCUGACAGCCACAGUCAGCCAGGCACUGGACUUCAAGACCAUCGAUUGCAAACUGCAAACCACUCUGAUCCUGUUUUUCCUCAGACUUUUCCAGCUGAGAGCCAGGGAUGCCUGUUCACUUUCAGUGGAGAAAAAGUGGAUCAGCGUGACUGCCUUUUAUAGAAAAAUAACUGGAAAAUAGGACAACUCAAUGAUGCUUUUCCUGCUUUUCCAAGAUGUGCAUGAGACCUGCACGCACAGAGGGGAUGACCGCACUAACACUAGGAUAAAUAAAAGCCACACUGUCCUCUGCACAGCUGUAUACAUCUAAAUGAUUAAAAUACUAAAUCUUGGGGGCUCAGGGUGCUCCAAGUGACCAACUUAGUGGAAGACCUCUCCAGUGCCUCCCGAGCAUCCCCUCACCCCCCCCCGGUGACCAUUACAGCAGUGUUUGCUGUACACCGCAGUGCUCUACAGAAACGCUAGUUCAUGGACACAUGGCUUAUCGGUUACAUUACAAAAACAUCAGCACUAACACUACGCGCUUACUUACCGCCUUUUAUCUGAGGGACUGAAAGCGUUGGACCCUCAUUAACCGUAGCAACCAUAAUGACAAUAUUUUAUUUCGCCAGCACCCAGUGCUGAGGUUCCUGAGUGUUUUUCUUCAGGCAGCACCCUAUUGACUUUGCGUGCGGCUGGAGGUUUGCCCAGCUUGGUGCCGAAAAUCGGUUCGAGCCAGCACUUCAGGAACUGAUCAACGCUGCUUUCAUCCCAGGAGUUCAAGGUGCUUAGCGAACAACUGAACUUCAUUUGACCUACAAAAUACAGUAUGUUUUACUGCAUCUACCUCAAAGACUGGUGAACGGAUGCAGAUUUGCUAAAAAUCACUGCACAUGUGAGCCCGGGUGUCAGGAAAGAGCUGCCGAAGGCACCGACCUCCAGGCCAUGCCUCGUCCCCAGCCAUCCCCUCCUGCCCUGCCCAGGCAAAGGCCACUGCUGCCUUCCUAACACUUUCCCUCCUCGGCUAGGAGCUGCUCUCAGAUUAUUUUGCCUUCUACAGUUAUUUAUUUAACAUCAAAACCACUAUCCAUUAACCACUAAUGGGUAAAAAUAGUAAUAUUUUGCAUGGGCCUGGGGUUUCCUCCUCAAAGAUCUUUACAAACAGUAUGAAACCAAUUCUCACAGCGAGGCGGGCAGGUCAGUACCUACAUUAAUGUAUAUGUAUUCCCGCAAAUGGCUGGGGAUGAUGUUCAGGAUUUACAACUGUACAACUGAGAACUCCGUCAAGACCUGGGGACGGCAGCGGUUGGGUCACGACCAGAGCUCAGGGUUACCAGAGUCCCCAGCUGCGGCAGGGUGAACCCAGCCUGCGGCUUUAUUACGCCCAGACCACGUUAUUUUGCUCUUUUCCCUUCUUUCUGUCCCUGUCAGAGGUACUUAGAGCUGUGCUAAUAGCAGCUGGUUCAUCAAUCCCCUCCCUGCUGGCAGGGAGUAGCUGUGCCUGGGGCCGUGGCCGAGCAUCCCAGUGGCAGUCAGCCGCGGCGAGCAGUGCCACGGCUCUGCCUCCACCAGGGACCACGACGCCUUCGCUGCCUGCAACCCUGCCUGGCGUCAGCUCACACGCCGGGACGAAGCAGGGCGUAGAGCCUGUUUCCUCAUUUAACAGAACUUGUUAAUUUUUCUCGUUUAUAACCUGCAGCAUUAUCAGCAGCAAAUUACCGCUAUCGAUAACUCAUUAGCAAAUAAAAUGAAAGACAAUGCCACUGACAUCUGUAUGAAGCCAUGUCUGAGUGGCUCUGGCUCCUGCUUAUUGGGCUUUUAGUAUUCAUUAAGGCCGGUAAACGGUAUGUGCUUAAAAUGCUGAUCUACGCAGCAUGUGUUGAACUCUCAAUCUGCAUUAGCUGAGACAGCGGCUUAUACCAACUCUGCUGCCUAACUAACUUGAUUUAUCAUAGUUUCCUAAGCUCUGUUUAUGAGGCUGUUUUGUUUGUAACGACUUAAUAUUUUUUUCACAUGGGAGAAUUUAUCAACAUCUGUGCAUCACAUUGCAUCGGGCGUCCGGGUGGCCUUGAUUGUACUUGUAAUGCCAGAGCAGAGCUGGGGUGGUGAGUUGCUCUGCCGGGAACCCUGUGACUGCUUUCCAAAUGACAGCUAAUUUAAAAGGUGGUGCUUCCUCUGGCUGUUAGUCUCGAUAGAAGGAAAAACACAUUAUCAUUUCCUCUCCUGUCCUUUCUCCGUCUCGUUGAGAAAAAGGAGCGCAGGCAGCGAGAAAGGCAGUUGGGCUGGGGAACUCCCUUCGAUGGGUUGCCAGCCAGGUCAAGCGGCAGAUUAAAAGAUGGGUUGGACAUCAGUACUGAUAAAAAAUGUUAUUUGUGCGUGCCACUAGGCACUGAGCACGCGGGAUACUAUUCUGACAUUGACUGUGUCCUCUCCAGCCAAUUUGACCCUGACCAGAUAAGACGCUCUGUGCUGUUCUGGCUCCUCUUAUCUCUUAAGGCUGCAGCCCCAUCACAUCAAGGGUACGCAGAAACUGUUCCUUAGCACGUGUACCCGCAACAUUUUCACCUGGUGCCCUCAAAACCUGGCUCACAGUCUCCCAAAAGCGUGACCUCAGAGACACUUUGUGCAAGGCAUAUUGCUAUUAUGCAAAGACCGGCCAUCUUAUAGAGGCUUAAUGAUAUAAUCAAGUGUCUUCCAGUGGCCUUGGGAUCCUUUCUGGCUUCUCUUUUGCAAACUGAGGCAGGAAUUCCUGAGAAGGAAUUCCCUUACAGAGAAAACGUCUCUAUGCAUUUAUGGCUUUGGGGGUUUUUUAAAGUCAGGAAAAAAAAAGCUAAAUAUUAAAACAUCAGAAGCUUUCUCUGAUAGGGGAUUACAUCCAGCUUUACUAGAAAUAUGUGUGGUUUCCUACUUAUCUGCCUCCAAGGGUGGAAGACAGACAUCAGUGUCUCCAGAGAGGCUGGGAUGGAAACAUCAGAUAACCUAAUUGUGAAACGCUUUGGGCUUAGAGCACACAAGGCUCUUCUGGGUCUUGCUGAUGGCAUUGGGAGCUUAUGUCGGUGGCAGAUAUGAACCCAAACCACUGGGCUCCCCACAACGCCUGCCUCGAAAAACCUUCAAGGUGGUGGCACCUUUUCAGGCCCCCGCGCUGCCUGGCUCCUCGGCUGGUUUCACCCUGCAGCAGGAGAGCACCUUCUGUCCGAGCUGCGUCCUCGCUCCUUAGCAAACACGUCCCCCUUCCCAUGUGAGAGGGAGUUUCCACUGCCGUCAGCUAGCCUCAUGGCUAUUUUGCAAUAGCAGUAUGUGAGAACAAAGGCUCCAAGUUCCUGAAAUAAAUGUAGGGUUUUUUUCAUGACGAUUAGAGUAUUUCUGUGGAGGAAUUGCUCCUCCCUGCAUUGUCUAUAGCUUUGCAUGCCUUGAAGGCUGCCUUUGGAAAGUCCAUAUGUAUUUCAUACCAUUAAACAUUUGGAUCAAGAUUUUGAUCCACAACAUAAUGCCACUAUUAUUAUUGUUUUUAUUACUCUGUUUCCAUGUGCAUUUGGGGGACUUCGGUUCUUAAAAAGAAAGAUCAGCGUGUGGCCCUGUUACAAGGUCACACCUUGGAAAAAAUGAAGGGUGACACAUGCACAGUACCAGAGAAAUCCUUGACAUAUUCCUUUUAAAGGUGAUACCAACAACAAUAUUUAGUAUGAGCAAUUUCUGUUUGGAACAGACAGCAAAAGUUUCCCUAUUUUCAAGCAGAAUAAUAGCUCUGCUUUUUGUCUGUUCUCAGUAAUUUAGACUAAAUGAAAUAUGGUGCGUGGGUAACACAGGUACUUUUUUCACCAUUAGGAAAAUUCCCAGUUAUUGGGAAAUUUCUUUGGCUGGACCAUAGACAAAAAUCAAGGAAGAUGACUAUUCUUCUGACUUGGAAAAAAUAAAUAUUUGAUGCUGCUAUUCAGAAGCUGACUGACCCACAUGAAAAAGCCACCUUUGAGCUGCACAGGGCAUCAGUAAGGGGAAUAGAGAACCAAGGUGCUGCUCAUCCAAUUUCAGAUCUCUUCAUGCAUCAGAUCGGUGUCACAGCAAUGGGUAGCAGUAGUCCUCUUGUAAACACACUUUACUAGGUCACACAGCACAUUUGUUUCCAAUUUACUUAUUCCUGGAAUUUGGCAUAUAACUUCUUAUCCACAGCGUCUGCGGAAAGUUUUAUUAGAAGGGGAAAAGCAGUGAAUAAGAGUCACCAGUCCUGGAUUUGAUUCCUGGCUUGGCCACUAACUCAGGCCAUCAUUAUGCCAGCCACUUGGUUAUCUGGCUUCAUGCAUAAAGACUUGCAGGGCUGGGGCAAUAAUACAGGACUUUGGGGGAACAUCUCUUUGUCUCUCCAUUUACCCACAUAUAAGAUAUCUCUAAGAAUACUUCUCUCCCAAGGUUGAGCUGACAUUUAUGGGUUUGCUUGGAAAUCUUGGAGGGGAAGUGUUAUUAAAGCACAGAGAAUGAUUAUUAACUGAUGGAAAGGUAUUUUAAUGAAAUAUGUUGGCAAGCUUCCCUUUACUGUACAGUGCCAGUGUUAAAUAGGCUGCUUGAAGAGCUGCAUAUCUUCGCUUUCGGAGUGACUGGCUGAGAAAUAAUCAGAGCUGCUUCCCCCAGCGCACUUGUUGCUAGGUCGUUCUUGUUUCUUGCUGUCUCCUCAAUAAAUUCACUGUCAGCUCAAAAGCUGAAGGAAUCCGUAGUUGUAACAUGUAAUCCUUAAACGAGUUUCUCACCGUUGGGAAGCAUUUCUCUGGUGGUCCAAAUGACACGUACUCCCCUUACAUGACCAGCCCCAGAAGCUCAGCCAGCUCUGUGUCCCAAAAGCUCUCACUGGUCCCAACUGCUCCAUGGCAUCUGCGCUUUGGCUUAGCCCGUGCAGGAUAAACGGCGAAGGGAUGCAAAGGGAAUCAGAAGAGAUGCAGAGACAUGAUUUUUUGGGGGAUGAAUUUCUUAGGAAGCAUCGGUGGUGCUGGUGGCAUGAAGCUAAGCUGGGGUCUGACACCAUCACGGUAGUGCGGGGUGAUCCCUCACCCGCCCAGUCCCCGGGCAUGGUCCCUCUUUGUGAGGUUUGGGUUUGUUUCACUUGUGUGAAGUUGUUUUCCAGCUGCGGAAAGCACGAGGAAGCAGUGGUCAUUCGUGAAGGUCGAUGAGCAGACUUGCAGCAAGCAGUUAAGCUUUCCCCAGCCCUUGGAGCAGCUGUGCUGGAGAUGGGAAACUGCUGCAAGUUCUCUUGCAACUG